rnacentral:pre_miRNA from 1 species
AGGGGGAGCGCCGAAUCUUGGGCUGUGUCCCCCAGCACCCUGGGCUCUGGGGCCUGCACCGCUGGAAUUGCGCUCCUGGGCCACAGCCCCCU